rnacentral:rRNA from 1 species
AGAGUUUGAUCAUGGCUCAGGAUGAACGCUAGCGGCAGGCUUAAUACAUGCAAGUCGUGGGGCAGCGGGGGUAGCAAUACCUGCCGGCGACCGGCAAACGGGUGAGGAACAUGUACGCAACCUUCCUUUAACUGGAGAAUAGCCCCUCGAAAGAGGGAUUAAUACUCCGUAAUAUAUUGAUAAGGCAUCUUAUUAAUAUAAUAGCUCCGGCGGUUAAAGAUGGGCGUGCACCUGAUUAGAUAGUUGGCGGGGUAAUGGCCCACCAAGUCUGCGAUCAGUAAUUGGUGUGAGAGCACGACCAGUCACACGGGCACUGAGACACGGGCCCGACUCCUACGGGAGGCAGCAGUAAGGAAUAUUGGUCAAUGGACGCAAGUCUGAACCAGCCAUGCCGCGUGGAGGAUUAAGGCCCUACUGGGUUGUAAACUCCUUUUAUCUGGUAAGAAAUGUCUGCAUACUUGCGACUUGACGGUACCAGAGAAUAAGGCACCGGCUACUCCGUGCCAGCAGCCGCGGUAAUAC